AUGGUCAGCUGGUCCUUUAAUUAGUUAAAUACAGGUGAACACACUGAUUUUUAUUGCUGUCCUUCAUAUGAUAAGAUGCUGCCUUUAAUGGUGAUAACUGUGGGCUAAACAUGACUAGAGAGAUUUGUGUCUGGGCUUCUAUCCCCUGUGCACACGGGGAGAUUGGUGUUUGAUUUGCAGCCACAUCUGAGAUUUGUGGAGCUUGUCACUGCUAGUGACUACAGCAGACUUGAGAACCAAUGUAAAUGGACAAUGACUUAUUCGACAUAAUGGCAACGAUGCCAGUUACAAGGGAUCAGCACACUACAAUCUAUUAGCCAAAUCUAGCUCACCACCCAUUUUUAGCUGUGUUCUCAGUCGCUUCAGUCAUGUCCAACUCUUUGCAAACUUAGCCUGCCAGGCUCCUCUGUACACCGGAUUCUCCAGCAAGAAUACAGGAGUGGGUUGCUGUGCCCUCCUCCAGGGGAUCUUCCCACCCCAGGAAUUGAACCCAUAUAUCUGGCAUCUCCGGCAUUGCCAGCAGGUUCUUUACCCGCUGAACUGCCUGGGAAGCCCUUCUUCCCUUUCCACUUCCCUCCAGUCAUACUGUCAUCAGAUCGUUCUCACAUUCUUCAAAGUUACAGAUUCUUUGCGUACUGUUAGGUAUAGGUUUUACUUCACUUGUAGGUGGUCUUGGGGAUGUCUUUCCACAUGUGAAAAUCUUCAAAGGCAUUUAACUUUGCCUAUUUUAAAUGUAUUAUACAUACUUAACAACAAACAUGUUAAGUCAUUGCUCUUUGCACAUUUGUCUCCAAGGAGUAUGGCUUUGCUCUUUGCAUUGAUGUAUAAUAACUUAAUAACUUUCUACUUACUGAGAAUUCUCAGAUGAAAUAGAUAAGCAAAGAGGGUAAAAAUGUGCUUUAUUUUGAGAUCCCACAUAUUCUCCUUUGAGAGUGUGAUAAAUCAGGUAGGUAUUUUUCAUUUAAUAUAAUAGAUAUAUUUCCUAUUAUAUUAAUAAAUGAAAAUAUGUAUCUUAUUUGCUCAAUUAGAUGUUAAGUUCACUAACAUGUUUUCAGGUCAACUUGCAUAAUACAUGGUUUGAUUCCAUUAAAUGCCCUUUAUGUCUCUGACAUGUAGAGAGGUGAUAGGUGUGAGGCAUGUACCAAAUUGUAUAAGACAUGAAUCUGACCCUCAAGGUGCUUCUAGUCUAUCAAAAUGAACGCUGCAGAUAACCACAAAUAGCAGAUGGUCUGGGAUGAUUGCUCAGGAACUCAUAUCAAGAAAGGAACAACUUAAUCAAAAGAGCUUAGGAAGAGCCUAAGAGUGAGGAUUUCAGUGCACUGAAAAUAUUUUAGACAAGAUUGGAAAAUUGGCAAAAAUCACUGGAAAGCACAUUCAUAAAAAAUUGAGUUAACCCAAGUGGCCAGAUCAGAGGGGACAGAGGAGACCAAAAAGUGAUAGAUGAGAUAGAUAAGGGACAUGGAACCAGCUCACAGUGUGAAGACCAGGCUUGGGAACUUGAACCAAAGCCUGGAACAAGUGUAAAAUCACCAAAGGGCUGGAGUUAGUGACAUAACCAGAUUUGUGCCUGAGGGAAAUAUAAAUACUUCUUGACAAUUUUAUGAGGGUUUUUUCAUCUUUGUUCCUUCAUGGAAUGAUUUAGUUCUAAGAUGAUUUUUAUUCUCAUGUUAUAAUUGAUAAGGGAGGCUUCUGACUAACUGCAGUGCUCUCGCCAUUAAACCUGCUCAGAUUCCAAGAGUAUACUAUGGACAUUAUGCAAGAAAUGUGAUAGAGAUGGCUUAUUUAAGUGUGUACACAUCCUGUAUUCUGGAAUACCUGUUCAAUUAUAAC
ensembl:lncRNA